AUUGAACGCUGGCGGCAGGCCUAACACAUGCAAGUCGAACGGUAACAGGAAGCAGCUUGCUGCUUUGCUGACGAGUGGCGGACGGGUGAGUAAUGUCUGGGAAACUGCCUGAUGGAGGGGGAUAACUACUGGAAACGGUAGCUAAUACCGCAUAACGUCACAAGACCAAAGAGGGGGACCUUAGGGCCUCUUGCCAUCGGAUGUGCCCAGAUGGGAUUAGCUAGUAGGUGGGGUAACGGCUCACCUAGGCGACGAUCCCUAGCUGGUCUGAGAGGAUGACCAGCCACACUGGAACUGAGACACGGUCCAGACUCCUACGGGAGGCAGCAGUGGGGAAUAUUGCACAAUGGGCGCAAGCCUGAUGCAGCCAUGCCGCGUGUAUGAAGAAGGCCUUCGGGUUGUAAAGUACUUUCAGCGGGGAGGAAGGGAGUAAAGUUAAUACCUUUGCUCAUUGACGUUACCCGCAGAAGAAGCACCGGCUAACUCCGUG
rnacentral:rRNA from 1 species